rnacentral:rRNA from 1 species
AACAAACGCUGGCGGCAUGCUUAACACAUGCAAGUCGAGCGCCCCGCAAGGGGAGCGGCAGACGGGUGAGUAACGCGUGGGAACGUACCCUUUGCUACGGAAUAGCUCCGGGAAACUGGAAUUAAUACCGUAUGUGCCCUUCGGGGGAAAGAUUUAUCGGUAAAGGAUCGGCCCGCGUUGGAUUAGCUAGUUGGUGGGGUAAAGGCCUACCAAGGCGACGAUCCAUAGCUGGUCUGAGAGGAUGAUCAGCCACAUUGGGACUGAGACACGGCCCAAACUCCUACGGGAGGCAGCAGUGGGGAAUAUUGGACAAUGGGCGCAAGCCUGAUCCAGCCAUGCCGCGUGAGUGAUGAAGGCCUUAGGGUUGUAAAGCUCUUUCACCGAUGAAGAUAAUGACGGUAGUCGGAGAAGAAGCCCCGGCUAACUUCAUGCCAGCCGCCGCAGUAAUAC